rnacentral:rRNA from 1 species
CCAAUAGCGUAUAUUAAAGUUGUUGCAGUUAAAAAGCUCGUAGUUGAAUUUCGGGGUUAGUAGGUUGGUCAUGCCUCUGGUAUGUACUGGUCUCACUGAUUCCUCCUUCCUGAUGAGCCGUAAUGCCAUUAAUUUGGUGUUGCGGGGAAUUUGGACUGUUACUUUGAAAAAAUUAGAGUGUUUAAAGCAAGCUAACGUUUGAAUACAUUAGCAUGGAAUAAUGAAAUAGGACGUUCGAUCCUAUUUUGUUGGUUUCUAGGAUUGACGUAAUGAUUAAUAGGGAUAGUUGGGGGCAUUAGUAUUCAAUUGUCAGAGGUGAAAUUCUUGGAUUUAUUGAAGACUAACUACUGCGAAAGCAUUUGCCAAGGAUGUUUUCAUUAAUCAAGAACGAAAGUUAGGGGAUCGAAGACGAUCAGAUACCGUCGUAGUCUUAACCAUAAACUAUGCCGACUAGGGAUCGGAUGAUGUUAAUUUUUUAAUGACUCAUUCGGCGCCUUACG